GACGAACGCUGGCGGCGCGCUUAACACAUGCAAGUCGAACGGAAGGGCCUGCUUUCCCUUGUGGAUUGCGGGUACUCGAGUGGCGAACGGGUGAGUAACACGUGAGUGAUCUGCCCCCAACUUGGGUAUAAGCCUGGGAAACUGGGUCUAAUUCCCGAUAGGACUGCAGGGUGGUGCCUGUGGUGGAAAACGAUUUUCUAGUGGUUGGGGAUGAGCUCGCGGCCUAUCAGCUUGUUGGUGGGGUAAUGGCCUACCAAGGCGGCGACGGGUAGCCGGCCUGAGAGGGUGGACGGCCACAUUGGGACUGAGAUACGGCCCAGACUCCUACGGGAGGCAGCAGUGGGGAAUAUUGCACAAUGGGCGGAAGCCUGAUGCAGCGACGCCGCGUGGGGGAUGACGGCCUUCGGGUUGUAAACUCCUUUCGACCGCGAGGAAGCCACCUGGUUGGAAGGGUGGUGACGGUAGUGGUAGAAGAGGCACCGGCUAACUACGUG
rnacentral:rRNA from 1 species